rnacentral:rRNA from 1 species
GAUGAACGCUAGCGGCAGGCUUAAUACAUGCAAGUCGAGGGGCAGCAUGAUUGUAGCAAUACAAUUGAUGGCGACCGGCAAACGGGUGCGGAACACGUACACAACCUUCCAACAAGUGGGGGAUAGCCCAGAGAAAUUUGGAUUAAUACCCCGUAACAUAGCGAUGUGGCAUCACAUUGCUAUUAUAGAUUUUUCGCUUGUUUAUGGGUGUGCGGCUGAUUAGAUAGUUGGCGGGGUAACGGCCCACCAAGUCUACGAUCAGUAGCUGAUGUGAGAGCAUGAUCAGCCACACGGGCACUGAGACACGGGCCCGACUCCUACGGGAGGCAGCAGUAAGGAAUAUUGGACAAUGGACGCAAGUCUGAUCCAGCCAUGCCGCGUGAAGGAUUAAGGUCCUCUGGAUUGUAAACUUCUUUUAUAAGGGACGAAAAAAGGCUUUUCUAAGUCGUCUGACGGUACCUUAUGAAUAAGCACCGGCUAACUCCGUGCCAGCAGCCGCAGUAAGAC